ACCUAGGUGAUGGGCUGAUAGGUGCAGCAAACCACCAUGGCACAUGUUUACCUAUGUAACAAACCUGCACGUCCUGCACAUGUAUCCCAUAACUUAAAAUAAAAUAUAUUCAAAAACUUGAAAGAUUUAUUGUUGUUUUAUAAAAUUUCUUAUCUUUUUCAAAGAGUAAGAAGUUGGCAAACUAACAAUCCCACAAGUAUCAACUGAAAAGGUGGGAGAAUAGCAAAUACUUGAUGUUGCUCUCAGAUCUCACUCUCCAUGAUUCUUUCAUUCUUUUUCUCUCCUUCUCCUGACCUUUUCAACCCUCUUUCUCUUUACCUCUAGGGAGAAGCCUCCAGUGGAGCUGGACACUCACUGAAAAACUACAUGGAAGAAGAUGAAUCCUUAAAGCAACUGCAGGUAGUUCAUCAACCAUGGAUCUUGCCAAGUGACACAGAAAGUGAAGGAGUGGAAGCAGAACAGGAGAAACGUUCCGCAGAUCUUCUUCUUUGCGUUCCAUGCUCUUCUUGUCCUACACUGGUCUACUCUGGUUUGUGAAACAGACAGAAGAAGUUGCAAGUGGUCCUUAAAGAAAUUGCAGUUAUUCAAAUCCUUAUGUAUAGUUCUAAUUUUAUUUACUAUGUGUAAUCAUUUAGAGAAUGGUUAUUUUUAUAAUCUCAAUAAUAAACAAGUACUAUUGUAACCAGGGGGUGCCCAAGUAUGUAAUCAGAGAACACUAAUCCUGGCAAAGGAUUGUGAGGUGGUCAGGAGGCCAGCUGCCUUUUGACAUGGUUAGUGUCCUGGAUUUAGAUUACUUUAUACAUAGUUAUUAAGAUUAAUAUUUGAUAUAUUAAAUAUUGCCUGAUUCAAAUAACUUUGCUUAAAAUUUUUCUGUAUUUUAACUUGUCUAGGGUUUUCUACUUCUUCUAUUUUUAUAAUAUUUUCUCAUUUUUUAGAUUACUAAACAUUAUACUUAUCCACAUGUGCCAAGAUGUGCCAUUUAGGUCUCUGCAGAAGUCAGCUGUUUGGUAUUAUCACCUGCCAUAUAUGUUGUGUGCAGCAGCAGUAAGAAGUAUAUGCUCCGCCACUGCUCUUUCUCAUGAUUAUUUUCUCCAUUCCUAUUAAAACGAAUAAUUGUUAUGUUAAUUCAAUAAAGCAAACCAAUAAGGAAUGAAAUGCAUGGCCCAAAACAUAGAAAAUGAAAAUCGUUUGACCAUUUAUGCAAUUAUUGAAUCCAAUUAAGAUGAUCCAUUUUAAAUUUAAUAUAUGCUCGCUUUUGGAAUGUGUUAUGCAUUGAUGCUAAGUGAAUGGAUCUAAGUAAAUCUAUUGAUAUCUCUACUGUCUGUUUUAUUUUAUUUGUCUUAAUCUAAGUUUGCUUUCUGUUCUUUUAUGCUUUAAAGUAAUUUAAGCUUUCAUAAACUUAAAUUACAAAACUAUAUAACAAGGAACUAUAUCAAGGAAACAAAUGUUAAAGGCCAGAACAUGGAUAAAGAAUUUUUAAAAAUUCAGAUUGUAAAAAUUAAGUCAAUUCCCUAAAUCAAAUAAUGUAACAAUCUUUCUUACAUUAACAUUUUCUUGUGUAUAGAAACUCAUGUGACACAUUUUUAUAAAAGUGUUAUGUUUUAUAGGUAGAAAAAAAGGAAGUUUUAGAAACAGUAAAUUUUUUAAUCAGAAAGGAGAGAAGGCAAGAAAGUAAGUUUAGGGGACCAGAACAUUCUUCUAUUUAAAACUCCUUGCCAUGAGGAAUAUUUCUUCAAAAAUGUUUAACUGAGGAUCCAAAUGCUUUUUCUAUUAGAAAUAUUCUUUCUUUAAAAUAUGUCACCCCUAAUGCUUUCAUCUGAGCUGCACUUUCCUCCAACCACUGCCUGGUUGGUUUUCAUCCUCCUCUUGCUCACUGAGCUUCUCCUGGGAAUAGUCAUCCUACUAAGUGCCUCAUCAGC
rnacentral:lncRNA from 1 species